GUGCUUGUUACAGCAGCACAUACUCUAAAAUUGGAACAAUACAAAUAAGAUUAGCAUCGCCACUGCAUAAGGAUGACACGUAAAUUCAUGAAGCAGUCCGUAUUUUU